rnacentral:rRNA from 1 species
CCUACGGGUGGCAGCAGUGGGGAAUAUUGGGCAAUGGGCGCAAGCCUGACCCAGCAACGCCGCGUGAAGGAAGAAGGCUUUCGGGGUGUAAACUUCUUUUAAGAGGGAAGAGCAGAAGACGGUACCUCUUGAAUAAGCCACGGCUAACUACGUGCCAGCAGCCGCGGUAAUACGGAGGUGGCAAGCGUUGUCCGGAUUUACUGGGUGUAAAGGGCGUGCAGCCGGGAAGACAAGUCAGAUGUGAAAGCCCGCGGCUCAACCGCGGAACUGCAUUUGAAACUGUUUUUCUUGAGUACCGGAGAGGUCAUCGGAAUUCCUUGUGUAGCGGUGAAAUGCGUAGAUAUAAGGAAGAACACCAGUGGCGAAGGCGGAUGACUGGACGGCAACUGACGGUGAGGCGCGAAAGCGUGGGGAGCAAACAGGAUUAGAUACCCCAGUAGUC